AGUGAACGCUGGCGGUAGGCCUAACACAUGCAAGUCGAACGGCAGCACAGGAGAGCUUGCUCUCUAGGUGGCGAGUGGCGGACGGGUGAGGAAUACAUCGGAAUCUGCCCAGUCGUGGGGGAUAACGUAGGGAAACUUACGCUAAUACCGCAUACGACCUUCGGGUUAAAGAGGGGGAUCGCAAGACCUCUCGCGAUUGGAUGAGCCGAUGUCUGAUUAGCUAGUUAGCGGGGUAAUGGCCCACCAAGGCGACGAUCCGUAGCUGGUCUGAGAGGAUGAUCAGCCACACUGGAACUGAGACACGGUCCAGACUCCUACGGGAGGCAGCAGUGGGGAAUAUUGGACAAUGGGCGCAAGCCUGAUCCAGCCAUACCGCGUGGGUGAAGAAGGCCUUCGGGUUGUAAAGCCCUUUUGUUGGGAAAGAAAUCUUUCAGGCUAAUACACUGGGAGGAUGGCGGUACCAAAAGAAUAAGCACCGGCUAACUUCGUG
rnacentral:rRNA from 1 species